rnacentral:misc_RNA from 1 species
AUUUAUCAUGUCCAUCGCACAAGGAUGAUGGGCUAGUAUUUGCUGAUGAACAAAUUUUCUACACUUGAUUGGUUUUCACAUAUUUUCUUUAUGUUGUUUUGCUCGUCUUUGUGCAAAAGGUGUCGAUGGACAUGAUAUGGAAUGUUUAAUCUAGAGGGUUCUCUCUCUCUCAUUUAUUUGAAAGUGGGAUUGGACAUUUGGCCUUAGUUGCCUCUGUUUUUG